UCGAUUACAAAUAUAUAUUUGCAUCAUGUGGCAAAUUUCAAGGGGCAACAUAGAGAGUUAGCACAAAACAAGUCCCACAUCGGAGGUCUUGUAAGCUUACAAAGGUCAAAGUAAAAUAAGCGCUUGUGUUGCAUCCUUCUACGAUGUUUAUUAGGAAUCAAUAGGAUCAGUGAAUAAAGUAGGGAUUUCAUAUGAGACAGGAUGUGGAAGGUGAAAGGGGAAGAAAGCAAGGAAGGAUAGGAAAAUUUGAACUCACAUCCUUUGAAAUAAGCGCUUGUGUGGUACCGUAAGAAAUGGAUCCAAAACUUUCAAUAGUGUCAAUCCUUUUUCUAACAACUACAUAUAUGAAGCACGAAGAAUAUACUAAGUAGGGUUUUCUUGAACUUUAUAUCAAUAACUUCUUCCUUAACGAUUUUAUUGAAGAUUAAGUUCAUCUAGUGCGAGACCAAGACUUUGAAGAUUUCUGAAAUAUCAUUGGUUUGCUGUUUAAACAAGGGCGUAUAUAUGGACGCAAACAAGUUCGGUCUACCUGUUUAAAAGACUAAAACCAACACUUUAUCAGCUUGAUUUUAUUUCUAGCAACUGACUCUUUUUGGUUCCUUAUUCUCAUUAGUCCAUUGUAAGAUACAUGAUAAUGGAGCGAUGCGAAUAAGAAAACAAGAAAGAUCGAAUUUGCUAGAACAAAAAAAAAAAAAAAAAAAAAGGUGGUGGAAAAUUGUCUUGAACCUUCUUAAUCAAGCUCGAUGGACUUGUUUGAGACCAUGUAUAAGCUUGUUUAAAUUGCAACAAUAUAUCAUUAAAAAAAAAACUUAAAAGUCUUAGUUGUACCACUUAAACCUCUUUUUCAACGGGUUCAUUGAAGUAAAUUCCACUUGCAAGUGAGUAUUAAAGCAAUAAUGAUCCUUAUUAGUGACUAGUUUAAUGAUCGGAGUGAAUGUGUCAUGGAAAUCAAAUUUUUAUUGUUUAUGAAUCCCUUUAGUAAGAAGUCUAGAUUUUUACUUGUUGAUUAAUUAAGCCUUUAAGAUUUUCCUUUACAUGAAACACUCGUUUUCUACAAAAAAAGAAGAAGAAGAAAACACUCAUUUUCUAACCUUGAUUGCAGUUUGUUUUUAUGAAUAUUUUUUUUAGAAUGUUACAUAUUUUGUUUUUGCAAGUUGUAACUUGUGAUUUUUUUUUUAUCAUAGACUAAUUAAUGAAAUGAAUGUGUGUAUAUUUUAGAAUUUCAUGUUUUAUGAGGAAAUUAAAAGGUAUGGCAAAAUAUAAUAAAAUUAUGAAUAUUUGAGGGUUUGUGAUGAUUUGAAUUACCAAUACGAAAUAACUUCAAAAGUUUAUAGAAAUGAUGAUAACGAGUUUAGUAAGAAAAUUGAAAAUAGUCUAAAACAUCUUCUAGAAUGUAAAGAACAGGGGGUUCGAAAUGAUUGAUUUAUAAUGUAAAUGAUUAAAAAUAUAUAAGAGUUUUGUUGUUAAACUCUUGUUUAUACAUGUAAUUCGCAAACAUUUAAACAUUAUUAAGUGGGUUGAUUGGAGAACUGAAAAUUUCUUGCAUUGAAACAGAUGGAGAAGUAGUAAAACAUUACAAACUAGUGAUAAAUGAAAAGUGAUAAAUGUUUUAUUUAUGUAGAAAGUGUUGAAGGUAUCAAGCAAACUAGUUUGAACCUCCUUUUAAAGUGCUUUAUUUACUCCUCCUUCAACAUUGAAUCCCUUUGUGUGUAUUGCUAGUUGCAGAAAAAUGGGAGACCAAAAGGUACAAGCAUGUGCAAGUAGUGGUCCAUGUUUGUCCAAAAUUGCAAAAUAAAAAACCUACCCAAAAGUAAAAUUGGCUUGUAUAAAAAAUAGCUAAGCAUGUAAAAAAUAUAAACAAUUUUUUCCUUAUUUAAAAUUUUUGUAUUUUAUGAGUUUAAAUUAUUAUAUGGAUACAAAUUAGUGAUAAGCUCAAUUAAUGGACUUAGUGAGCUAACCUCAAUCAUCUUUAGGGUGUGUUUGGAUGGAGGGUUUAGGAGGGAAAGAGAUGGGAGGGUUUAGAUUUCAUUUUUAAAUUACGGACCCUAUAAAAUAUUUUUUGAAGAGUUAACAUAUUAACAUGAUAAAUGAUCAUAUAAUACUUCAAUUACACUUAAUUUAUUUUAGAGAAACAUGUUAUAUAGUCCGUAAUUUAAAAAAAGUAAAACAAACUCUCCCCUCCCUUCCCCUCCUAAACCCUCAAUUCAAACACACUCUUAAUAUUUUGACUGUAUUUAAAAAUAAAUAAAUAAAAGAUUAUCCUUAUCGGACCUAAAAUCGACGAUGUGAGAGUUGGUUGGAAAUGGUUGAAGACAACUUAGUGAAUUAAUCUCAUUUAUUCUUAAUGUUUCAAUUUUUUAAAUAACAAUGAAGUAAGUGUGAUCCUUACCGGACCUAAGAUCGGUGGCAUGAGAGUCAUAAUAUAUCCUUUUAAGUUGGAAAUUCACGACUGAAGUUUCAGAUUUCUCACUAAUUUAGACAAGGGAAAUGGACAAAUUAAACUUGAGUUGAACAUGAAAGUGAUAUAUAAUUGCGGGGAUUGGGUAGUUUAAAUUAGGGUUAAGGAGUUGGAGGUUCAGGAUUCAAGUCAUAAUAAGGAGAAAAAAUAACAUAAGAAUGGCUUAAAUAUGUAAGUUUCUCUAUAAUUUGACGUAUUUUUUGUUUUCAUUCCCUUUCUUUUUUCAAAAUCGUACCGAUAAGCUAUUAAUGUGUUGCUUUUCAUCCCUAAGUUAGCUUCUGUUACAAAAACGUACAUGCCGUUGACGGGGGAUGUUGUGGCAGUGGGUAACGUGGCAGACAAUGCUGACGUGACAAACUGGAUUAUAAGUCACACAUGGAGAGGGACCAAAACCAAAAAUGAAAUUUGUAGAGGGACCAAAACCAAAAAACGAGAAGUAGAAAAAUUUAAAUUUAAAAAUAACAAUUCUUCGAUCUUCUUCCCUCACCUCUUCAACAACUUCAUCCACCAUCAUCAAAAAUCCAGAAAUUUAUCAUCUUCAAACCCAAAUCCAUAAAUUCAAAAAUAUCCAACUGAAACACGUAGAAUCAAACCAAACUAAUUAAUUUGCACUAGAUAAAAUUCUGCUUCUGCUUCUUCUUCCCUUUUCACCCUUCUUCCUCAACUCAAACCUUCCCUCUUCGUCUCACUCCCCCUCCCAAACAACCAGAGAUUCCUUCAAAUUUUAGCAAAAUGGAAAAACCUAAAUUCUAAAUCCAUGACAACAAUUCAAAAGGGUCGUUCAGUUAAAACCCCCUAUUAUUUCAUUACCUAACUCGUAGACAAAAAUGAAGGGGGAACGAAUUCAAAUCCCCAAUAUUCCAAAACACCCUUUUGAUUUUUUUUUUCUCUGCCUUCUUUUGACACUUCUGUAUAUAACACAAAUUCAAUGAAAACAAUCGCAAAAUUCUUUUAUUUUUGUGAUUUUUGGCUCUUUUGGCAUAUGACUUUUGUGUUCUAUGCAAAGAAUGACUCAAGGUGGUUUAUUUGUUUAAUUGUGUAAUAAUUUUGAGUGAAGAGUGUCAUGGUUCAAUUCAAACACACUAAAAUUUAGGUUUUCAGAUUGUGAAUUUCGAAUUUCGGUUAAGGAUUUUGAUAUUUUUGUUGUGAAUCCGGUUCCAAAGAAACCUUCACACCAAUGAAAAUACAAUGAUGUGUGGAGCAAGUGAUGGUGGUAAUCAAUGAGAACAAAUGGUCUCCAAGCUAACAACAACAAAACAGCCCUAAGCUAGUGUAUAGUAAAACCACACAAAGAGCUAACAAAGCAAACAAGAUAAACGGUAAAGGAAAGAACAAAAAAAACACUGAACAAGAUUGUUGACCCAGUUCAGCCAAUAUGGCCUAAUCUGGGGGAGAGAGCAGCUCUCCAAUCCAAUAUGAGAAAGUGUUACAAAAGGUUACAAGACUCUAGCUUUCAAGCUUUACACAUGAACAAACCCUAGAUCUACCCUUUGGUAUUUUCCCACUCUCACACUAUAAACCCUUAAUCCCAAGGUGAUUACAAUGUUUUUCCCAACCUAAGAAACACUCUCAUCAAAGGCACACACCCCAUAGGAUCCCCUCUUUGAUCUCCAAGUUUUCUCUCUUAAGCUCUCUUAAGGUUGUCUUCAAAAAACACAAGAACACAAUAUAUACUAGUCCUCCCCUGAAGAAAUCGUGCCACGAUUUCCCUAGAUCGUGUCACGAUCUGCAACGGUCCCCAGGUUGACCAGUCCUUAUCAGUGAUACUUAACCAGCAAGUUUCUGAAUCGUGUCACGAUUUCCCAAGAUCGUGUCACGAUUUGGCGUCCUGCAAACUUGCUUCACGGCACCACGAAAUCGUGUCACGAUGCCAAAAUCGUGUCAUGAUUUCUCUGUUCUUUCAGACCACAAAUUUGAAGCCAAUAUCAACAAUUUUUUGUUGAAUCUAUUGAAGCAAUGAAUUCAUGAUGUUGAACGGAUAAAUUGAUGUUGAAUGUGUUUUUAUUUAUUGUGCUAAAUGUUGGAUUUUUUUCUCAUUGGGGGUGUUACAAUUCCUAUUAUCCCUAUUUAGCUCUCAUUCUCCCCAAGUAGUAUUGCAUCUGCUUCUACUAGUGUCCCAGCAACUUCUUCCACCAGUACCUACACACCUAUCAGUCCAACAUUUUCUUCAUCUAGAAUCCACACACUUAUUACUUCUUCCUCCACCACCAGUCCAACACACAUACUCACUAUAUCCAAACCCUUCCAAAUCAUGUAUUUUCCUACCUUCCAUUCAACCAACUUUGUUACUCAAUCAUGGUGAACCAAAAAGCGUGAGUCCUGCCUUUAAGAACCCUAUCUAGCUCAAUGUAUGCCUAAAGAGUUUACUGCUUUGUAGAAAGAUAAAACAUGGAAUCUUGUUCUUCGGCCUCGAAGCAAGACUGAUAAUGCAUGCAAAUGUAUGGUUAACAAUAGUAAAACAAUACUCCUUACAAAAAAUAGUAAAACAAUACACUAACCCUCGCUUUUAAAUGAUAAAUUGUAAAAACAAUAAUAAUUACAAACAAAUUUAUUACCCCUUUCAAUUUUCUUAAUUCCCAUUAUUUUUCAAAAGGGUCCUAUAAUUAAGGACAGAGGUAGUAUAAUGUUGCAAAACAUUUGACAUCCUGCAGCGCGUGUUUCAACCUCAUUUAUUCAUAAUAUUUUGAUUUUUUAUAUAAAAAUAAAACAAAUGUGAUCCUUAACAUACAUAAGAUCGAUUGAAGACGACAAUGGUGCGCCACGGCUAGGGUGCGCCACAGCCCAUCCGAAAAAAUAAAAAAAUUAACGAUCAUAUGUCUACUUUGCAAGACUUUAUACAAUUUUGCAUCGGUUUUAGGUUUCGGUUGAUUCAAAUUCCCGAAAAAUUUAAAUAAUUCAAUUAUAGGUCUAUUUUACGAGUCUUUAAACAAAUUUUCAACGGUUAUAGUUUUCCGCGGUUUCAAAAGUGACAUACGUGAUUUUUGUGAUGCUUAUACUUUGCAUAUUGUCAUGUCAACUGAAAAUUCUCUCAGUUAACAGUCAUAAUGUACAAAAAAAGUUUCAUAAUUUAUACUACCUCCGUCCCUAAUUAUAGGGCCCUUUUAAAAAAAUAACGGGAAUUAAGAUAGUGGAUAUUUGUAUUAAAUAUGUUUGUAAUUACUAUUGUUUUUACAAUUUUAUCCUUUAAGAGAUAGAGUUUUUUUUUAACAAUCUUUAAGAGAUAGAGUUGGUUUAUAUUUUCAACAUGUUAUUUAUUGUUGAUUGAAGAAAAAGAUGUAUAAUAAAUAGGGGCAUAUAUGUAAAAAAAAUAAUUAAUGUAGUUGGAAAUAGCAAAGGGUCUUAUAAUUAGGGACGGGGGUAGUAUUAGUUGUUAAAUUGGUCAUUUUUUAAGUAUACACCCUAACUUUUUAGUCAAACUCCGUCAUUUCAACUUCGUACUUAAUACUUAUUACAACUUUAAUUUAUGUUUACAUAUAUUAUAAUUAAUUUUAGUGGUUCAUCCGAGUUUUUUUUUUUUUUUUUCUUCUAAUUCUGCCACUGACUUUAGAUCUCACUCGCCUCACAAGUAGGGAUUUCUUCAACUUGAUGGCAAUAACUCUUUCCUUAACAGUUUUAUUGAAUAAUAGUUUAUCUGGUGCGAGACCACUUUGAAGAUUUCUAAAAUAUGAUACGUUUGCAAUUUAAACAAGGACAUAUAUAUAUGGUCCGGAACAAGCUCAUUGGAUUUAUUUAAAAAACACAAGACAACGUUUUAUCACCUUGGCUUUCUUUCUAGCAGAUGAGACUCUUUUUUGUUCCCUUAUUCUCAUUAGUCCACUAUAAGAUACAUGAUAAUGGAUUGACGGGAGUAAGAAAACAGGAAAGAUAAAUUUGCUAGAAAUAAAUAAAGCUGAUGGAAAAUUGUCUUGAUUCUAUUAAAUUAAGCUAGAUGGACUUGUUUUGUUUGAGACCAUAUACUCCCUCCGUCCCUAAAUAAAUGAUCUAGUUGACUCUGACACACAUACCAAUGCAUAUGUUUUAUCUUUGAUAUCUUCAAUUCUCUAUUAAAAAAAAUUAUAAAAAUUUAAUAUUUUAAAAAUACUCAUCGAGACGAAUCCAACAACAUCUUACAUGAUAUUAUUUAUCUUUAUGAAUUAGUAGAAAAGUAUGGUCAAAGUAUAUCAAGUCAAUAAUGCAUAUUGUCAACUAGGUCAUUUAUUAAGGGACGGAGGGAGUAUAAUCUUAUUUAAAUUGCAAAAUCGGUGAUAAUUAAGAAACUUCAAAGCGUUAUUUGUACCUCUAAAACCUCAUUUUUCAACGGGUUCAUUGAAGUAAUGUUGAAGUAAAUCCUACUUGCAUGUGAGUAUUAAAGCAAUAAUGAUCCUUAUAGGGACUAGUUUAAUGAUUGGAGAGAAUGUGUCAUUGAAAUCAAAUUUUUGUUGUUUUAUGAAACACUUUAGUAAGAAGUCUAGUUUUGUACUUGUUGAUUAAGCCUUUAGGUUUUGUUUGGAUAGUAAAAGAAAGUUGAAGGAAAGAAAGUGUAAAGAAUGAUUGUUAGAGGAAAGAAAGUGAAUAGAAAGAAAGUAGAAAUUAUGUUUUUCUUGAUAAAUAUAUAACCAUACCACUUUUUUUAUUUCGAUAGAACACACCGUCAUAAUUUACUUUCAAUAUUAUAUUAUAAUUUUUAUUUUAUUUAAUAUAUUUUAAUAUCACAUUCAAAAGGCACUACUAAAAAACUCAGAUUUAGCGACGGCAGUUUUCCGUCGCAAAUGAUUAAAAAUUCCGUAGCAAACAACUUUGUGACGGGUUUUGCGACGCUUCGAAAAUCCGUCGUAAUAAUGGGGGUCGGAAAAAUUGACCGACGGAAUAUCAACUCCGUCACUCAUUGCGGCGGCUCAGAUAUGGUCGCAAACAACAAAAUUCCGUCGCUAAGCCUCCCCCAUUAUGGAUAUAUGUCACCCAGUUUUCCGUCACAAAAUACCGACUUUAAAAAUAUCCGUCACAAAUUACUGAGGGGGGGAACCGUUGCAAAUAACUGAGGGAACAAGCCCGUCGCAAAAUAUCUGAGAAUUUGAUUAGCGUCGCAGUGGUAUCCGACGCAAUACUGCAAGAUAAAAAUUUUGUGACUUUCCGAUUUUCCGUCACAAAUAAGUUUUUUUUUUUUUUUUCCUUAAAAUUAGUUUAGGAAAUUUCUCAAUUAUUUCUCAAAACAAUUUUGGAAUAUAAAACAAGGUGAUGAAAAAUCAUAAGAUAAAAUACAUUAAUAUGAUAAAAUGUGAUAAAAAUUACAUUAAUAUUUGAUUAAAAACCUUUUUGAUUGCGUUCACAAGUAUCACACUACUUAUCUUUUGUAUCAAAAUAUAUUGAAAUAAUUAUUAAAUAGUAUUAGAACAUUUACUUUAAACUAAAAGUUAUAAUUAAAUUUUCAAAAUAAUAUGAUAAAUAAUCAAGUAGGUGGACACAGAUGUUAAUCCUAACUCGAACGAUGAGGUUGAUAAGGAGGUAGAUGCGAAUGGCCUUGUGUAAAAGACUCCAUUAAUUUCUGGAACUGCUCUCGGAGCAAUCGUGAAUCCUCCUGUGACUGUUGUGCCUGCUCUCGAGCUAAACGUGACUCCUCCUGUAAUGCACGAAUCAAUUCCUCAUUAGUCUUUAACCGCUCCUUGAGUUCCAUGUUUUCAGCUGACAUUUUAGAUAUUGCAGUCCUCAUAUGCUCAUAUUCAGAUGGUGAGAUGCCAUCAGAUGACCUGGAUGAAGAAGGCUUGUAUUUUCCUGCCUCUGUCCCCAAACCAUAAAUACGUCCUUUCUUGUCGACUCCUCCAACUACGUCCAAGAAGAUGAAGUUGUCUGACUGAUGGUCAUUAGACACAUCAUCCCCCUCUGUUUGUUGUGAGUUCCUUUCAAAAAUCCGUCUUUCAUAUUCAUCCUACAAAAUUAGAGUUUGUCUUAAUUCUUACGUACAAAAAUAUAAAAUUAAAUCAAUUACUACAAUUAAAUUCAUAUACAAACCAACCAAUAACAAGUUAAACAAAAUAAAACUAGUUUUUAACUAAUAACCAUGUUAUCAUGACUUCUUUCCAAGUGAAGAAACAUAAGAUUAUCAUGUUCAUAUGUCAGAACCUGAUGAACAAUAAUAAGCAUGCAUAACAUUAAAAAUUAUGGCACAAAAGCAUGUAAUAUACAACAAUAUACAUGAUUAAAUAACUAAAAACAAUUAUAGCACAUGAUGGCAGAGUUAUAGUGUAGCAGCAUGCAUCAAUACACAUGAGGACAAUUAUAAAUACUAAUUUUAAAGUUUUUCCAAUUACCUUGACUUGCCACCAGCAUACCAAGUCCACAAAAGGAUAUAACUAAUUCUAGAUAAUUUUCAAUUGUUUUAUGUUCAUUUGACAAAGGGCUGGAAAUGAUAAUAUCAUCGAAUUGUAACUUACCGCAACCAUUUGAGAUUUGGAGGAUACCCACUUUGAUGGAUCACCUUUCAUUUUGUGUGUCUUUAGAUACACUUCCCAACAACUUGGAGUCAUGUUUGAGUCAGUUUUCUAUAGUACAAAAUAAAUAGAUUAGUAUUAUUAUUAAUUUAAAUCACUAUGCUUUACUGCAAAUAUAAUUUGUUUACUUACUAAUCUUUUAGAAUGUUCAAUUGUUGGAAUUGACCCACAAGUGUGCAAUGGACCAUUAGAGGAUCUUCUAUUUCGCUUAUUAACUGCUGCUUUGUCCUUCCAUUUACUAUCUUCCCAAUUUUGUUCCAAUUUUUCACGCAAUAGAGCAGGGAUCCAUUCGCCUUUGUCAAUUCCUCUUCGUACCCGAUACAUUGUAUUUUGGUACCCAUCAGAUGCCUUAUGAUGAUAAGUCUUCUUUAUGUCUUGAUCAUGCUCAGGAAGCCACUUAUAUAUCCUCUGCAAUACAAGCAAUGUAAUUAAUAUAGGAUAAACCGGACAACACGCUAGGAGCUUUGCUCUGGAACUUGUAACUCUUUUGUGAGUUAUUAAUAUUCACCACUAUUCUCUUGUUUCUAUUGAUUUAUUCUGUUUUAUUAGCUCUGCUCUAUCAUAUAUGUUCAUUAAAAUUCGCUCUUUUCACUUUUGAAAUUGUUUUUUCUCCAACUGUCGUUGACCCAGCAACAGUUAACCACCGCCGGACACUAUUAAAGUCAGUUGAACAAUUAGAAAAGUACCGACAAUUAGAAAAGUACCGACGACAGUUGAACAAUUAGGGUUGUAUAUAUGUUAAUUGGUCUAACAUUUCAUUUUAUAAUUUUGAUAAGAGACUAGUAACAGAUUCCAAUCCAUACCCUCCAAAGUUGGGAGGGAGCCAAAAAUGAUGGUAGGCAGUGCGGUGGAAUAGAAUAUAUACCAGCAAUUCCAAAUAAAAAAUGGACUAAGAUAACUUCAACCGACAAUUCCAAAUAACAAAUGGACUGAGCGACAAAUCUAACAACGAGGACGAUAAACAUAAGUUGGAGGAAGAGAAGGACAGUACCUGAAACUCGUUAUACCACAAGUCCGCAAGAGCCGUGUCUUUUUUCAUUAACUCUCCAUAAGUUGCCCAAGUCCCUUGAAACAAACGUUUUAUAAUCUUUGUAAUGUCACGUGGGGGCUUAACAGCAGGCUCAAACCUAUAAAAAUAAAAUUAAACAAGUAGUAAAAUACAAGGAUACAAGUUAUUAUAGAAUUAAACGGAAAAUCUUAAAAAAAAUCUUACGUUAACUGUGGUCCCGGACGGAUCCAUAUACGCCUAUCAGUAGGAUCUGUACUCCCAGCUAUCGGAUACGAAUCAUCACAUGAUGAUGAUGAUGCAUGUGGAUCACCACCAGAUACAACAUCAUAUGGUCUAUGUGUAUUAGAAAGAUGUGGUGGACUAGGAGUAGAGUGGGGAGAUUGGAUAUUUGUAGGUAUUUGAGAGGUGGGAGUAUGAAUUGUAGACAUUUGUGGACUUGGAGUAGAGAGGAAAGGUGGGAAAUUUGUAUGUGUUUGAGAUAUGAGAUGAUGUGUAGGCUGCUUUGUAGAUAGCGAUUGUUGGAUAUUUGAAGGUGUGUUAGAUGUAAGAUGAUGUGUAGGUUUCAUUGUAGAGUGGGGUUGUUGGGUAUUUGUAGGUAUUUGAGAAGUGGGAGCAUGGACAGUAGACAUUUGUGGACUUGAAGUAGAGAGGAAAGGUGGGAAAUUUGUAUGUGUUUGAGAUAUGGGAUGAUGUGUAGGUUGCUUUGUAGAUAGGGAUUGUUGGGUGUCUGCAGGCCUAGGUGCUUGUAAUCUAGAAGAAUGCGACAAAGUAGUUUUAUGCUUACCUCCCUUAUUUCCCUUAACUUUGUUGAUGCUUAUACCAGCACCUCUUCCACUGCCCCUUGUAAUAUCAUUGUCUUCCAUCUAUCUAUAUACAUAUAAAACUAGAUAAUUAACUACUGUACAUAAAAAAAAAAGAAGUUAAAAGGCGCACAAAAUUAGACAUGGGCAUAAACAAGUUAAAAGGCACACAAAAUUAAAACAUAAGCACAAUUAGCAUUUUCCAUUAAUAUGCAUAAGAAUUACACAUAAGGAUUUGUUGAAAAAAUUUAACAUAACAAUAGAAAAAAGACUAGUCAUAUUGCUCUCCUUCUUUUUCCUCUUCUAAAUUCAUCAUCUUCUUCUUCUUCCACUUCUAUUUCUUCUUCUACUUCUACUUCUACUUCUACUUCUUCAUAAUCCUCCUCCUCCUCCUCCUCAAACUCGUCAUAUUGUUCUUCUAUCUCUAAACCAAGUUGGUCCAAGACAGAGAUUGGUACUACUUCUUCUUCUACACCAUUAGUGUCAACAAUGCAUUGUUGAAAAUCAUCAUCUAAUUACUCAUUAUGUCAAAGAACAUAACCUAAAGCAUAGUAAAAAUACUAUGAAAAAAAAAAAAAGAAGACCAACCAUUCUCCCUAAUUACUCAUUAAAAACAAAAACAAAAGAGAAGGAGAAAAAAGAGUUUAAAAAAAAAAACUAAAAUUGGACAUUUAUUAGUCUAGAUUUUAUUUGAUUUUUCCUUUUUAUAGCACUUAAAAAUGAUUUUAUUGGUUGAACGUGAUUUAUUUUUUUCACUGUCAGUAUUCUAAUUAAACUCAAAACAAAAACAAAAUUAUCUAUCCAAAAUCUGUUCUCCCUAAUUAAUAAAAAGGGGAUUCAACUGUAAAAGAUUUACAGACCAAAAAAUCUUCACUAACUAAAACAUAUAAAUCUAUAAAACAGCCCAAAUCAAAACCUUAACAUAUAGGCAUUCAAAUUGUGCAUACCCAAUUCAGUUAGCAUAGUUUACAACAUAAAAACUAGAGAAGGAGAAAAAAGAGUUUGGAACCUGUUUGCAGCAGCCAAGUGAGAUGAGCUAAGCGAGCAACGGCCCGAGCAAAGUGAAGGAUUUAGGAACCUGUUUGCAGCAGCAAAGUAAGAUUAGCGAUGAUCUGAUCGAAGUGACCUGAUGAUUGAAGGUUUUGGGAAUUAGAUUGAUGAAGUGAAGAUUUAGGGCAAAUGAAUUUGGAAAUUAGAGAGGGGAAAUUAGAUUAGGAACCGAUCGGGGGACCUGUUUGGGAGUUAGAUUGAUGAAGGAUGAAUGGAUUUUGGUAUGAGCGAUUGCUGGUUGAUGGGUGAAUGAGGAAAAACUUUAGAGUUUUGUUAUGUAUCUGUUUGUUAUAAUAAGAAUGAACAUGAACGAUGCGAGGGAGAAAGUGGUGUUAUGUUAUUUAUAUAAUAAUAAUAAUAAUAAUACAAAUAAAUAUAAAUAAUAAUAAUAAUAAUAAUAACGUAAUUUGAAUAAAUUUUAUAUUUGUUAUAUUAUUGUUAAAAGAUUAACGUAAUUUGUUACCUACAAUAAUGAAACCGUCGUAUAUGAAAAAAUCCAAGUUUUUUUUUUUAUAACAAACUUUUUUUUUUUGAGGGAUUUUAUAACAAACUUUUGUUACAUAUAAUAGUGAGAGUAGAAAUUAUAUAAAUAAGACUGUAAUGUUGUUAAAAAUUUAAGUGCAAAUUAGAAUAACAAAUCUGAUGGCAAAAAUAAAAGACUCUAUGAAUAUUCAAAAAGAAGAAAGAGUGGAAGAUUCGUUUGAAAAAAGUGAAGGACAAAGAGAAAUAGUUGAAGAUUCAUUUGACAAGAUACAAGAAAAAAUUUGCAACGAAGAAGGAGAAGUUUCAUCAAGAGUUCUAAUGGAUCAUGAUUUAACCGAAGAAGAGUAUCAAUUUGAGUUGAAAAAGUUUCAAGAUAUGGUUGAAGCUGGGUUUAAAAAGAUACAAGAAAAAAAUGGCAACAAAGAAGAAAAAAAAAAUUACCAAGAGUGCUAAAGGAUUUUGAUUUAAACGAUGAAGCAGAUUGCGAAUUUGAUUUGAACAAAUUUCCAGAAGAAGGAGAAGAAUCUUCCCAUCACGAGUUUCAACAUGUGAUUAGGAAGAUGUUAAGAAAACUUCUUCCUAAAUUUUAUUGAAACCCAUUUUAUUUUGAUUUUAGAUUUGAAAUAAAGAGUAACUUUGAAUCAAAGUUUCAACUUUGAAUCAAUGACAUUGUCUAGAGUCUAGUACAACAUAAAAAUAUUUUAUGUUUAGUAUUGCAGUAGUUUAUCUUCUUUUUGAGAAUUACAUAUUGCUUAGCCAUAACCUUGCUUUUCUAUAGUUGGUGUAAUUUACUUUUCUUCAUUUUCUUAGGAUAUAUUUAAGCCCGAAAAUUUAUUAAAUCAGCAUGACAUGUAGUCCAUUCUUCAUGUUUAUGCUUCAAGCAUGUUAAUAUCACCAAAAAAGCGUGUUAAAAUCAGCAUGACAUCUAGCCUAAAAGUUUUGAUUCCAUAAAAAAAAAAAAAGUCUAUGCUUCUUUAUAACCAGUGCUUUAAAAAUCAAUGCUUCUCUACAAAAUUAAAAGGCCUAAUACCCUAAAAAACCGACAACAACUUAUCAAUGGUCUUUGAUGUCAUCAAGUGAAACUCUAGAACCAAAUCAGCUAUAGAAUAAAAAGCAUUGUACUGCAAUAAUCAUUCCAAAUCAGCUAUAGAAUAAAAAGCAUUGUACUGCAACUUCAUCAAAAUUAAAAACAACUACAAAAAGAUUAAUUUACCAGUAAUCAAUCCAUGUAGAUGUCAUCAAGUCCAUAUUUGCAUCAGACUUUUUAUAGGACCUUGUACUGCAACUUCAAUCAUUUGAAUCUUUAUCCUCACAAACCAAAACAAAGUAUGAAAGUAAAUCAAUCAAUUUUAGCUUUACCUUGUAUGGACUUAUGAUUGAGUCUAUCAAUUACACAAUUAAUUGAAUAAUAACUACAAAUUUUACCUUGUUUAAGCCCCCAUGAAGUCCAUUUAAAUUAGGAGUUCUUGAGAACCAAAGCCACAUUUUCAACCUAUUAAAUGUCAUAUAACUUACCAAACCAAAACUAUAAGAAUGCAUUUGAAAAAAAAAAAAAAAACUGAAAUGAAGUUUUAGUUCCAAAUAUAUAGCAAAAUUAAUCCCUAUUCACAUAUCUAUGAAUCCUUACAACCCAAAAUUGUUUCACAUAUAUGACGAAAGAACUCAAUUCCUAGUGAUGCCUUUCCGAAUGACCACCGGAGCAAUUUCCACCGAAUCUGAACAUCAAUAAUAUUUUCUCAUGAAUUAGAAACUCAUUCUACCACUUCUCUAACUAGAGUUAACCAUAAAAUCCCUACAUUAUUCAUUCUAACCUACAAAAUAAUUUCUAAACGAAUCUUCAUGUGUAAAUAAACACUAAUUGAGAAUUGUAAGUCGAUAAAUAUACCUCAAAGAGUCUCAAUGAGCAACUCUCACAAUAUGGGUAUUCUCCUUCUACUUCAAAGCACAAACCCUAACCCCCAAAUUUAUACCAAUAGAGCUUGAAUAUGAAGUUGCUUUACUUAGAUGAUCAAUUAUUCUUAAGGAUGAUUGAUUUGGUGAUAAAAUUGGUUGAUUUGGGAAAGGAAGGAAAAAGAAAUGGAAGAAGAGGAAUGAGGGACAGAGAGCUAACGGGAGUGAUAGGAGAAAGGAAAGGGAAAGUUAUGUGUGUUAUUUUUUUUUUUUUCCCCGCGUGUGUGUCCAGUAAGUUCUAGUAUAUCCAUUAUCAUUAAUAAUUCUCAUACUUAAUUACUUUCUUUUUUUUUUUCUUCCAAGAAACGGCAGCUAUAAAAAUAAACUACUCCCUCCGUCCCUAAUUAUAAGACCAUUUUGCUAAAAUCACGGGAAUUAAGAAAGUAGAUAUUUGUAUUAAAGUUGUCUGUAAUCACUAUUGUUUUUACAAUUUUAUCCUUAAGAAAGAGAGUUAGUUUAUGUUUUUCAUAUGUUACUUAUUGAUGAUUGAAGAAAAAGAUGUAUAAUAAAUAGGGGCAUGUAUGUAAAGAAAUAAUUAAUGUAGUUGGAAAUAACAAAGGGGUCUUAUAAAAAGGGACAAAUUUUUUUCUCAAAAGGGUCUUAUAAUUAGGGACGGAGGGAGUAAAAUAUAUAAAUUAUAUAAUAUCCAAUACAACCCAUUUCGGUGUCGUUCAUAAAAAAUUUCAACAAAAUAAUACUAAAAACCGAUCAUUAUAUUCAAAGUGAUGUUUUACGCAUCCCGACUUUUCAUCUUAACUUUUCCUAUUAUAACAGUUUCAAAAUCAACAUAAUUUCAAAAUCAACUAAUAAUACAUGGUUUCAAUGUUACAUCAAUUCUAAUAACAUUCAAAUUUCAUAACAAUAGCUGGUUUCAAUUUCAUUGAAAUAACAUAAAUGAUUUCAAAAUGAACCAAUUUUACUUGAUUUUCAUAAACACAAGAUGAUGAUAGCUGAAUUCAAAAGUUGAGUUAGGUUUGAUAGAUCUUUCUGAUGGAAAAUGCCAUGAAUGUUACUCCCUCCGUCCCUUAAUAAAUGACCCAGUUGACAAUAUACAUUUUUGACUUGACAUACUUUGACCACACUUUUAUACUAAUUCACAAAGAUAAAUAAUAUCAUGUAAGAUGUUGUUGGAUUCGUCUCGAUGAGUAUUUUUAAAAUAUUAAAUUUUUAUAAUUUUUUUUAAUAGAGAAUUGAAGAUAUCAAAGAUAAAACAUAUACAUUGAUAUGUGUGUCAGAGUCAACUAGGUCAUUUAUUUAGGGACGGAGGGAGUACUACUUUUCAUGACAAGUUGCUAGAACAUGCUAGUCAUGUACAGAAAAACCAGACACUAUCAAAAAUAGAGGAAGAUUAGCUCAUCUAGGCAUGCUAGAAGUUGAAGAUAUGCUUACAUUUUACAUUUUCUAUAAAAUUUAUCUUGGACUGUCACGUUAUUCAGUGGAAUUUGUGUAUAGAAGUCAAUGUGUGUUUUUCUUCUUCUUUUAUGGUAUUUUUCACAUUCACCAUCACAAUCUAAUUCAGAUAAAAAAAUUACAAAGCAUGAUACUUGUACAGUAAUAAUAAAGUGAUAUUGAAACAUAAAUUCACGAGUAAAUUCACAUUCACAUUUUUCACAUUCAAUCCUUUAGAGCAUCCAUAAUGGUAGUUCCUUAAUAGGGACUCCUUAAAUGGACCCCACGUUACACGUCACUUAUUUAUAAUCUAUUAAAAAAAGUACCUAUUAAGAACUUAAUGACUCCAAUGGCAAUACACUAAUAAGGAUUCAAAUGAAAAAUACUUAAAUAUGCCCCACUAACUUUGCAUUAUUAAACAAAAAUAAUUUAUUAAUUAAAUUAUAAAUUACCUCAUAAUAUUUAAUUACAAUCCUUAAAAAAAAUUAUAAAAUAUUUAUUUAUUCGUAUGAACUUAAAUUUCUACGACAUUUGAUAAUAAUUUGAAAAUGGAAAAAUUAACAUUACAAAUUUUACAUUGCUUGUUAAAAAAUAAUAAUAAUUGAAGAAAGGUUGGGAUGGGUAGAAAAUGGUGCAAGUUGUCCAACUAUUCCUAUUUAUUUUUUCUUUUAUUUUAAUUUUUUUAUAAUAAUGGUGUAACGGAUAUAAUUUUCUUUUUAAGGGUUUUUUGUACACACAUUUUUGAAGUUUUUUUUUUGGUCGAACAUUUUUUAAGUUUUAAUCCCCUAUUUUAAAAAUCAACUUUUUGAUCCCUAUAUUAAGGAAGUCAACAAUUUUUUUUUAUUCCCCACAAAUUUUGAUGAUGUCACAUCCUCGUUAAUGAGGUAUAAAAAAUAUUUUCCAUGUCAUUAUUAUUGAUUAAUAUUAUUAUUUAUUUUAUUUUUAUAUUAUAAAUUAAUUAAAAUAAUUGCCUCCAUCUUUACCGUCAACAUUCAACACUAACACAAGAUUAAUCACAAUCCAUCAUCAGCACUCUUAAAACUCAACCCCUAAAUGUGUAUGUGGUUGUUGGUUGUUGAAGAAAUUUUUAUAAUGAAUACUAAUAUUGUAAUAUAUAAGUAAAAUAAAAAUAUAUUUUUUAAAUCAUUGUGCCAAGUCAGCGUCACAUCAAUGAAGUUGUUGGGGGACCAAAAAUAUCCGUUGACUUUCUUAAUAGAGGAUCAAAAUAUUGGUUUUUAAAAUAAGGGUAUUAAAACUUCAAAAAUAUGUAAAUAGGAAGACCAAAAAUACAUUUAAACCAAAUUUAGAUUUGAAUAAAAAAUAAGUAAAAAUGAAGGAAAAAAAUGCAAACUAGUGAGGUCAUGUGUAGAAGAAAAGGAAAGAUUUUCAACAAAAAAAAAAAACCUAAAAUAACUUAGUACUAAUAAAAAUCAAUUAAAAAAAUCUAAAAUAACUUAGUACUAAUUAAAAACAAUUAAGAGAAAUAACAAAUGAGUUGUCAUGGCCUGGUGGUAAAUUGCAUUGAUUGUAGUUCUAAGGUCGCGGGUUCAAGUCUCAUCUCACCCAUAAGUUUCCAAUUAAUUCAUAUUUUUCAUCAUUUAAUUAAAAAACGCUAAAUUCAUUGAGACGGCAUUCAAGGGCGUCGCAAACUAUUUGGGGAAUCUCCGACGGAAUAUGUAACGGAAUAGUUAUAUAUGGAAUAAAACCCUCGCUAAAUCCCUCACAAAACUAUGUAAUGUCACAUUUCUGACGGAAUUUAUGACGGAUACGUAGCGACGACACAGACCCUCGUAAAACCCGUCGCUAAUGACAUCAAAAGAGUACCCCUCACAAAAUCCGCCACAAUUUGCGACGGAAAUUAAACCCUCACAAAAUUCCGUCGCUAAAACUGAAUUUUCUAGUAGUGAGGAUUUAUAGUUUUUUUUUUUUGUAAUUUUGUUCAAAACAGUGCUUUCCCUAGACUUUCCGUGCACAAUAGAGUGGAAACAUUUUUUGGUGUGCGAUCCGGCUAUCAGCAUCCUUUCUCCCAUUUUUAAGGUGGUUCCAAACUAUGGUUUGUUUUCAUGAAUUUAUUUAUUUAUUUUUUUGGAAUUUGUCAUCUUUUGCUUUUGUUUCUAAGUUGUAACUUGUGAUUUUUUUUUUUAUCAUAGACUAAUAAAUGAAAUGAAUGUGUAUAUUUUGGAAUUUCAUAUUUUAUGAGGAAAUUAAAAGGUAUGGAAAAAUAUAAUAGAAUUAUGAAUAUUUAAGGGUUUGUGAUAAUUUGAAUUACCAGUGUCCAAUACGAAAUAACUUCAAAAUUUUGGAGAAAUGAUAAUAAGUUUAGUAAGAAAAUUGAAAAUAGUCUAAAAAGAUCUUCUAGAAUGUAAAGAAUCGGGGGGUUCGGAAUGAAUGAAUGGAUCAACGAAAUGAAAAAAAAGAGCGAGAAAGCUAAAAGAGAAAAAGAUAAGGAAGAAAAUUGACAAAGUCCAAAACAUUUUAUAGCAUGUAAAACUAACAUAAUUUAUAAAAGAGAAACCUUUUGAUAGUUUAUAAUUGAAAUAUAGUUUAAUAUUUUAAUGGAUAACUUAUAAGUUUUGGUCUCAAAAAACUACUUAGAUGGUACAAUUUUGCAAAACAUUUGAUAUGUUGUGACAUAUGUUUGACCCUUCAAUUCUUCACUUUUGCAGCACAUUGUGUGUGAGAGUUUUAUUGUUAAGUUCUUUAGGAAAAAAAAGAAAUAUAAUUGAAUCAAUUAACUAUUUUAGUUGCAUUGAAAGUUAAAUGAUAAAACGUAUGAUGAGAGACAUGUAGAAAUAUAAUUGAAUUUUAGAAAGCAUAUAAUCAAUCAAGGGAACGCAUUGAAUGAAUAGAUGACGACAUCUUAUCCGAGCACAACUUUUUAAUCAUAUUUUCAACCCUUUUUAUAAAUUGUUAAACAAAACUACUCUUUCAAUAAUAAAUUUAUAGUUUUGCAAAAAAUUUGAAAGGCAAACUAUACCGCAGUCUCUAUAAAUUUGAUAUUAGUUUUUGAUAACAAACCAACAUAGUUAAUGUUGCUCUAAGGAUACAACCCAAUAAUUCAUAGGGGUUUGUAAUUUUAUUUUUUCCAUCAAAGAAUUUGAGAUGAAUGAGAUGGUGUGCAUACAUAUGUGGUAUUUGAAACCCAAAUUGAAUUUCUUAUAAAAAUGAUGAUUCAAUAUGUCCAAAAGAUUAUUGUUACUCACGUAGACAUUGCAAUAAUUGAUACACACACACAAUAUUGACACAAAUUAUCAUACUUAGCAUACUUACACAAUCAAUAACUCAUUUUAGAAAAAAUAAUAAAUCAAUCUAACAGUUGAAUCAUCAUAUAUUAUGUUGAAAUUCAUGUAUACAUAACUUCAAAUUAUUUAGGCAACGCUUCAAUAAUAGAUAUGUACAUAUAAUUUUAAAAUGACAAAAUUACAUUUUUAGUCCCUUAAUUUAAUUUCAGGUAACAGUUUGGUCCUUUAUCUUUUUUUCAUUUCAAUUUGGUCCUUUUUGUCCAUUUUCAUAUGAAUUUUUAAGCUUAAAAUUCAUGAUUUUAUUUUCUUAUGGUCUUUCAGUCUUCAAAUCUAUGAUCCUCGUCUAUGUUUGCAUAAGAAUAUAAGAUUUGAAGUUUGAAAAUGGACAAAAAGGACCAAAUUGAAAUGAAAAAAAGAUAAAGUACCAAGCUGUUAUCUGAAAUUAAGUUAAGGAAUUAAAAGUGUAAUUUUGCAUUUUAAAAUUUUGUGAAUUUUUAUAGACUUGAUCUUUGUUUUUAAAUAUUCAAUGGUAGUUUUUUAAUAUUUUAAAAGAGAGCAAAGAAAAGCCCUAUGUAAUUUGACCUAGAAUGGUUCUUCCCAACCACUAAGGUUUUCAGAGCUACCCAUAACAAACAAGAAUGAUUCGAUAAUAAAUACUAAUCAUUUUGAAAACAAUAUUGCUUUAAAUUCAAUACCACUUUACUUUGUAAAUAUUAUGAUUCACAUAAUUUAAGUGAAUAAGAAUGUAGAAUAAAUUAUGCAAUGAAAUUUUAAAUAUAAAUUCUACAUAUUCAUAGAUAUGUUCUCACUCCAAUGGUGUAUUAUAUUCUUACAUAACUUUAUCAUGGCAUAAAAAUAUUUUUUCCUUUACUAUCACGAAAGGCUAAACAAGUAAUGAAAUUUUUAAAAGGAAAAAGCAAUGAAAAGUUAGUUAAAUUAUAUUCAAUUAUUAUAAUUACUAAGUUUAUUAUAUGUUUCUAAAACAAAUUAUUAAUACAUUUAAGAUGCUUUUAGUAAUGAUUCUAAUGUUACGAAGGGUUUUUAAAAUUUCAUAAUGCUUAAACUAUUUAAUUAUUUUUAUAAGAUCAUGAACUUUAUACACUAUAAAGAGAUCAAGUCAUUUACUAAUGUUUAGAUGCAAGUAGGAAAAAAUAUGGCUAAAACUCUUAAGAUGGUUUAUGUUUUAGUUCUAUUUCUUUUCAUAUUCCUUAGCAUAAUCGCAUGUAAUUCUUCUUUUAUUACGUUUAGAGACAGUCGUUGUAAAACAGAUAAAGAUUGUCCAAACAUUCCAAUGGCUACUGGUAGGUGUCGUAAAGGCCAUUGUGUACUGGUCUGAAAUAUACUAAUGAAAUAAAUCAGUUCUUGCUCUAGCAAGAGAAUUCUAGAAUAUUCCACUUGUUAUCAUUUAGCUUUUCUGCAUGCGCUAAAUAUUUGUUAUUUUUUUCUUCUACUUCUUAUUAUUCUUAUGGUUUUCCCUAACUUCAUGGACCUUUAAGUUUUGAUUUUAAAAUCUAAAAUGAUGGAAAUGAACUCAGGAAGCAAAGAUCUUUAUUUUUAGUGUCUCUUUAUCUCGUAAAUUUAGAGGUAUCACCAUGGCCUGCAAUCCUGACACAUCACGCCUUUUUUCAACCUAUCACCUAUAAUAAUCACUUUAAUAGUUAUGUUAAAAAGUAAUUUUAUCUUGCAUUUUUUCAACAAAAAAAUAUAUUCAUUCAUUGAAAUUAGUAAACUACAUUGAAAAUAACACAAAUUCAUCAUCGCCAAAACUGAAAUAGAAGACUCUGUCCACUUUUAGUGUAUGACUUGAUCAUUUUGCAUGAAACCAAUAAGAUAUAAUUUCAUCUAUUUACAAUGUAUAAUGAACAUACAGAAAAGCUAAAAAAAAAGGUUAAUUUUUAAUCUUUUUUACUAUUUUAAUAUUAAAACCAUUUUGUCUGAAUUCAAAAACCAUACUCCAUUCAAAACAAAUUUUGAAGGAUCAUGACAAAUUUGGCAAUUGCACCAAAUUUUUCAAGUAAUUUAGUAGUAAGAUCAUCAUAUCCAUGUGGAUUGUUCUUUUGGACUCGACAAUUUACUAAACUUAUAAUUUAAAAUAGUAAAUGGAGGAGCUUGCAAGAUUUGUUGGUUUGCAAUGAAAAAUAAAUAGGGUUCUUUAUUCAGAGUUUCAGCGGCGAUUAGAAAUAUUUGAAUCUCUUCUACCUCUUUGUUGGAUUAAUACAUAAUUCCUACAAAUUAUGACCUUAGGACUAUAUAAACAAUGGUUAACCUCAUGUGACGAAGAUUCUCGUCCCUCUAGAUGUUAGAUUGAUCUAUACCAAAUAUAACCUAAGCUAUAAAAACUAUGGACUUAUCCUCCCACAUGUAAUUGACUCUAUAAUUUCAUGCUGGUACUCAUAGAUUUUAAGGGACUUAUCCUCGCACAUACGCAAGAGUCGCAAAAUAUCAAAUUGCUCUUAAGCCGAGAAUAACACUGACAGAAAUAUCUUAGAACUUAACCAACAUACUCUCAGUAACGCUACUAAACUAAAGAUUCUUGAGAAAAAAUUGUAUGUAUUCCGGUUAAAGCAAGAUGCCAAUAAAUAAACUCUAACCUACGAUCAUUUCAAAAUCUAGGGGUGUCACUUAGUUCGUAAAAGCAUCAAGUGCAAAACAUAUGAAAACUAAAUAUAACUAGAUCAUAACUAAAUAAAUAAAUUGCAUUAAUAAAUUUUUAACAAAUAAAUAGAGGUACAUCUUAGAACUCUAAUCUUAAGGUGUUUAGUUACUCAUGGUAUAAUCGAAUACAUGACCAAAGAAAAACAAAAGGCCAAAUACCAAUUGCAGUCCUUUAAGUUACAUGAAUAUAAAAAGUUAGUCCUUUAAUUUUUUUUGGUUAUAAAUUGGUCAUUUAAGUAAUAAAAUAUUUGCACCAUUAUCCUAAUUUCAUCAAACUCAAUCAAAAAGUGUUUGUAUGGAUGUUUAAUGUUAAGUUGGUUUGUCCAAAUUAAUUGCUCUCAAAACUAAAGCUCAUAGGUGUGUUAUUCUGUCUUGAUUCAAACAAAAUUGAUCGAUUACUUGAUUUAUAAUAUUGUUGAUAAAAUAUCUAUAUAUGAAAUUAGGCUUGAAAUUCAAAAACAAGAAGAAGAAAAUGUGUAUAAAUAAUCAUGUUGGUUGUCAUAAGCACUUUUGGAUCCACCAUCUUAAUGUUAAAAGGUUUAUAAGCACUUUUUAGCGAUGUUGGCUGAACCGAUGCGAGCCUCGUUGGUGAACUUUGUCGUUUUUCUUCCUCGACAUUUCGUUGGGACAGAAUUUCUCCAAAUUAUAUUGCCCUCUAAGCCUUUUGAAACCUUUGUUGAUCUUCAUUAUUUAAUUUCCAUAACUUCCAUGAAAUGUCUUGCUUUAUCGAAUUACAUAAUAUCUCCAAAACAAUACAAAAUAUCUCCAAAUCCAUGAGAAACUCGUCUAAAUUGUCUUUGAAUGCUUGUUAAAUGAAUCCAAAAACAUAGCUGCAAACAUCAUAUGGUAAAGUGCCAUAAAAAAACUUUAAAAAUAAAACAAAGUCUAUGAAAGAAGGACAAACGUUUGUAAAGUUUGUAAAAACUGUGGUACCCUGAGAAAAAAAGACAAAAAUUAGUUAAGAGUCAUAGAGUUAAAGGUCUUGAGUUGAAGUUCUAGAAAAGAGAAAAAAAAAUAACAUAACAACUAACAUAUAUCAUUCAAAAAUAAAAAAGAAAAAAAGAAACUAGGAUAUAAUUAAAAUAACUUUCUAAGGGUAUAAGAAUCAUACAUAUUAAAUAAAUUAAAUAUAAACUCAAGAUGUCCUUAACAAUGCACAUAGCUCACCAAGAGAAUUAAAAAUUAGGACAAAAACAUUCACACACCAUACUAAAACUACCUAUAUUAUUGGAAGGUUUGGUGGUAUGCCCAAUAACAACUUCUUCCACUAGCACCUAGGUACCUAUUAAUCCAACAUCUUCUUCAACUAGAAUCCGCACACUUAUUACUCCUUCCUCCAUCAUCGGUUUAACACCCAUACUCACUAUAUCCAAACCCUUCCAAAUCAUAUAUUUUCCUACCUAGCCUUCAACAAACUCUAUUACUCAACCAUGAUGAACCCAUACAUGAAAACAUAUGAUGAGGGACAUGUGGAAACAUAAUUGAAUUUUAUAAAGCAUAUAAUCGAUCAAAGAAACACAUUGAAUAAAUUGAUGACAUCAUCUUAUCCCAUCACAACUUUUUAAUCAUAUUUUCAAUCCUUUUUAUAAAUUGUUAACCAAAGCAACUCUUUUUCAAUCAUAUAUUUAGAAUAUUGAACGCCAAAGACUAUAUCGCAUGCUCUAUGAAUUUGUUAUUUGUGUUUUUUAUUAACAAACGAACUUUGUUAAUAUUGUGCUAUGGAUACAACCCAGAGAUGAAUGAGAUGGUUUGCAUAAAUGUGCGGUCUUUUCAACCCAAAUUGAAUUUCUUAGACGAAUGAUGGUUAAAGAUGAUCUUGUAAUAUGUCCAAAAGAUUAUCGUUACUCUUGUAUACAUCACAAUAAUUGAUACACAUACAUUUCCGCGUGUGUGUGAGCAAAGAUCUAUUUACAUCAAGUAUCAGACUUAUCAUACUUACACUUUCAAUAACUCUUUCUAGAAGAAGUAAUAAAUCAAUCCAAUAGUUGAAUCAUGAUAUAUUAUGUUGAGAUUCAUGUAUACAUAUAACUACAAAUAAUUUAGGCAUUGCUUCAAGAAUAGAUAUGUACAAAUGUUAUGACUACCAUAUCUAUAUACUAGUAUAAAAAUUAAUUAAUGUCCCUUGAAUUUACCAUUUUGCCCCUAUAAGGGGCAAUUUGGUAAAUUACAAAAUUGUUGAGUUUUUUUUUUUAAGGUUGGCUUAUGAAUUUCCAUUUUUGCCCCUAACCAAUUUUUUUUUAUUUUCUAAUUUUUAUAUUUUUAACUAUUUUUAAAUUUUUUUCUCCCAAAUUCAGUUGCUUCUACAUUGCCGUUGUGGGAGAUUAAGGUAUCGUUUGACCCGACUUUUUUCAAACUUCUCUAAAUUUUUAAGGAGAAGUUAGGCCAAACACAAUAUCAAUUAAGUACUUACUAAAAAAAAACAUUUUUUGAACGCAUAAAAUUGAAUGGAAUGAGCUUUGACCAGAAGCUGUUGAAUGUUACUUUAGAAAACUAUUUCUUGACAAUUUAUUUCACACACCUCUUUUCAACUCACGCUGGAAACCUUUUAUUUAUUUUUUAAUAUUAUAUUUCAAUAUUUUUUUUUUCUUCCAUUUAACUUUAUUUUUUCAACCGUUCCAUUUCAUUUAUUAAAGAGGUUCCAUUUAAUUUUAUCCUUUUUUCAAAAAAAUUGUAUUAUCUUUUUAACGCACAUAUAUUUAAUUUCAAUAUCGUUUAAUCAUCACAACCUCACAAAUAUCCUAGCCAAUUUUUUUUUUAAUUAUUUUUAAAUUUUUAAUAACUUUUAAUUAUUUUCCAAUUUUAUAUUUUUAACUAUUUUUCAAUUUUUUUUCUCUCAAAUUCAGUUGCUUCUACAUUGCCGUUGUGGGAGAUUAAGGUAUCGUUUGAUCCGACUUUUUUCAAACUUCUCUACAUUUUUAAGGAGAAGUUAGACCAAACACAAUAUCAAUUAAGUACUUGCUAAAAAAAGAACAUUUUUUGAACGCAGAAAAUUGAAUGGAAUGAGCUUUGCCCAGAAGCUGUUGAAUGUUACUUUAAAAAAUUACUUCUCAACAGUUUAUUUCACAAACACCUCUUUUCAACUCACGCUGAGAAUCUUUUCUUUAUUUUUUAAUAUUAUAUUUCAAUAUAUUUUUUCCAUUUAACUUUAUUUUUUUCAACCGUUCCAUUUAAUUUUUUAAGGAGGUUCAAUUUAAUUUUAUCUUUUUUUCAAAGAAAUUUUAUUAUAUUUUUAUCACUUAUAUAUUUAAUUUCAAUAUCGUUUAAUCAUCACAACCUCACAAAUAUUUUUACUCAUGUUGUCAUUUAAUGAUUCUAAAUAUUUUUAUUUCCUUUCUUCAACCUUGCGAAUACACACACACAUUAACGUUUAGAGUAAUAUUUUAUGUCCGUCUGUUUGUUUUUUUUGUUACGCUAAUGCAUAUAAUUUUUUUAGUGUUGCUUGGUUGCGUGCUACCUCACCAAUUUUUUUUUAUCUAUUUUCCAAUUUUUCUAUUUUUAAAAACUUUUAACUAUUUUACAAUUUUUUAUUUUUAACUAUUUUUCAAUUUUUUCUCCCAAAUUCAGUUGCUUCUACAAUGUCGUUGUGGGCGGAUAAAAUACCAUUUGACCCGGUAUUUUUUUUCAACUUCUCUACAUUUUUAAGGAGAAGAUAGGCCAAAUACAAUAUCAAUUAAGUACUUACUAAAAAAUGUACUUUUUUUAAUGCAUAAAAUUGAAUGGAAUGAGCUUUGGCCAAAAGUUGUUGAAUGCUACUUCAAAAAAAUACUUCUCGACAAUUUAUUCCACAAGUAUCUCUUUCAAUUCACGUUGGGAACCUUUUCUUUUAUUUUUUAAUAUUAUAUUUCAAUAUGUUUUUUUCUUCCAUUUAAUUUUUUUUAACUGCUGCAUUUAAUUUUUUUAAAGGAGGUCACGUUUAAUUUUAUUACCUUUUUUUCAAAGGAAUUUUAUUAUCUUUUUAUCAUUUAUAUAUUUAAUUAUAAUAUCGUUUAAUCAUCACAACCUCACAAAUAUUUUUAUUCACGCUGUCAUUUAAUGAUAUCAAAUAUUUUUAUUUUCUUUCUUCAACCUCACAAAUACACACACACACACAUUAGUGUUUAGAGUAAUAUUUUAUGUGUGUCUGGUUUUUUGUUACACUACUGCGUAUAAUUUUUUUGGCGUUGCAUAAUGCGUAUGAUUAAUUUUAUAAUAUUUUGAUUUUAAUAAAAGUAAAAUUGUAGAUGUCUUUUCUUCAAAAUUGUAGAAAGAAAACAUAAUAAGAUUUUGUCAAAGAAAACAAAGAUUAUGAUAGCUUUGGGAGAGAAAUUCCAAUUAGUUAGAGUAAUUUCGUAGAAGACUAACAAAUAAUCACAAGCUAAUUUGGUUAAGAGUGAAAUUAUAGUUUAGUUCUACUAUUGUUCAAAUCCAACUUAAAUUAAGCCUUCAUUGAUUCCAAAAAAAACAGCAUAUAAUUGGGAACAUCAUUUUAUUUUACUUUAAGUAAACAUUAAAUGCAAAAGUGUGGAGGGAAAAAUUAGGUUAAAAUUAGAGAUAACAUUUUUGCAUAAAUUAAAUCUAGGGUUAAUAUAGUAAAGUCACACGAAAAAAUAGGUUAAAUCUAGGGUUAAUAUUGCGUCACGGAUUAACAUUUAGAAAUAAGAGAUGACAUUUUGCAUAAAUUAAAUCUAGGGUUAAUAUAGUAAAGUCACACGAAAAAAUUAGGUUAAAUUUAGGGUUAAUAUUGCGUCACGGGUUAACAUUUAAAAAUAAGAGAUGACAUUUUGCAUAAAUUAAAUCUAGGGUUAAUAUAGUAAAGUCACACGAAAAAAUUAGGUUAAAUCUAGAGUUAAUAUUACGUCACGGGUUAACGUUUUUAAAUAUAAGAGAUAAGAGAUGACAUUUUGCAUAAAUUAAACCUAGGGUUAAUAUAAUUUGUUUAGUAAAAUUAAGGAGAAAAAUUAGAAGCGAUUUGUUUAUUUUGAUUUCCCUAACAAUUAACGUUAACAUUUUGAUUAAAUUAAAUAAGGUUAAUACAGUAAAGUUAAGCAAAGAAGUUAGGUUAAAUCUAGGGAAAAAAUUUGCGUUCAAGUUAACUUUAAGGAAUAAGAGAUUACAAUUGUAACGCCCUCUCUAAUUAUUUGAUUAUUUUAAAUGAGUUUAGAAUAUACUUAUAUGAUUUGUGUGAUUUAUAUGAUUUAUUUUGAUGAGUGAUAUUUUGUUAUGAUAUAUGUUAUAUAUUUAUUAAUAUAAUAUAUAUGUUAUUUGAUUUAGAAAUAUAUGUGUUAUUUGGUUCAGAAAUAUAUAUGAUUCGUUAUAGAAAUAUAUACAUGAUUUGUUAUAGAAAUAAAUGUUAUUUAUCAUAGAAAUAUGUAUGAUUUGUUGUAGAAAUAUAUAUAAUCUGUUAUAGAAAUAUGUAUGAUUUGUUGUAGAAAUAUAUGUCAUUUGUUAUAAAAAUAUAUACAUGAUUUGUUGUAGAAAUAUAUGUCAUUUGUUAUAAAAAUAUAUACAUGAUUUGUUGUAGAAAUAUAUGUCAUUUGCUAUGGAAAUAUAAAUGAUUUGUUAUGGAAAUAUAUAUAUGUUAUAGAGAUAUAUUUGUUAUUUAUUAUUGUUAUAGAAAUAUUUUAUAUAUAUGUAUAUAUUAGAAUAGAAUAUUAAUAUUUGGAUUUAAGAGAAAAAUAAGUAGGUUAAAGAUUUAUAUAAAUAGGAGAGACCUAGUUUAGAAAAACAUAACGUACGUACGACUGCUUUUGGAGAAAAGGGAGAAAAGUCAAGAGAAGAGGGAGAAGACCUAGAGGCUGCGAUUUUCUUCACUUUAAGGUAAGGGUGAGACUAACUUUGCAAUUCUAUCAAGUAUGUGAAUCAAUGGUUAAGUUUAACAUGAAUUAGGAUGAGUUUAAGAAGAAUCGGAAAUUAGGUCAAAUUGAUAGAAUUGAUGAUUAAACGGUGGAAAUUUGUUAAAAAGAUGUAGAAACUGUCCUUAGACCUUAGAUAAUGAUUUAGAUGAAUUCUGGAAUUGAAAUUAGGCUUAGAACCUUGUUAGAUGAUGAUUUUCGUGUAGAAAGUGCAUCAUGUCCGAGCCUAGAUUCAUCGCUCGCCACGGCGAGCUAUGAUCCUCGCCUCGCGAGUGAUGAUCUUCAUCGCUCGCCACGCGAGCCUUCCCCUUCGCCUCGCGAGUGUUUUGGUAUUGCUCGCCAUUGCGAGCAACCUUACUCGCCAUAGCGAGCUAAGGCAGAGAGCAUGUUAGAUUUUGUGUUUCGACCUUUUGAGUUGAACCUUAGAUGCCUUUGAGUACCCUUAGGUGCCUACUAUUGAUUAGAGAAUGAUUUAGAACGAGAUUGAACCUAGAACAACCUUAGUUGAAAAGUUGGCUUGUACUCGCCACGGCGAGCAGAUGCUCUCGCCUCGCGAGCACUUCCAGAAUUGAGUGUUUUUAGUGCAUUGUGAGACUUGAGUUGCUUGGAUUGGUUAGAAAUGAACUUUAGGUACAUAGUGUGACCUAUUAAAGAUAAUGAUUGUGAAUUGUGAAGCUAUAUUGAAAUGCUAAGUGUUUAUAAUGUGAUUUAUUGAUUGAUUGCAUUACUUGAAUUAUUAUUGAAUGAUCAGGAAGUUGUUGAAAAUGAAUUGGUAUUAAGUUGUUGAUAUAAUCUGAUUAUGCUGUUAUUGUUAUUUAACUAAGUUACAUGAGUUGUUGUUGAUUAUCAUUUGAUAUUGUUAUAUCCUGAGAUGUUUAUGUGUCGCCUAUGUUGCUGUUGUUGGUUAUGUGAAAUAUUUAUAUGCCUUAUGUGGAAGAUGUUUGAUGUUUAAGUUGUUGGUGCUUCACAUUAAUAUUGUUAUGUUGUGGAUUGCAAAUUGAUAUAUUGAUAUCUCUCUAUUGUUGUGUGAUUUGACUGUGCUACUGCUGUUAUUUAACUAAGUGCAUGAUGUAUAUAUAUAUAUUAUGAAAUGAUGACGUUUAGCUCCAAAUUAUUGGAUGCAUGAUGAUAUGUUGAUUACGGUGUUUUGUUGUUAAGAGUCCAUGCAUAGCAUUUCAUUGAGCUUUGUCCUCACCACGAUUAGGAGCUUUGUCCUCCGCACGUUUUAGGAGCUUUGUCCUCCGCACGAUAAAAGUAUAUUAAUACUUAUGAUGACGAUUGGUACCACAUGCAUAUAAGUGUCUAAGUUGCAUUGUCGCAUAUGUCGAGUCAAGGUCGUUGUUGAUGAAUUAUCAUCCAUGAGUUGUUAAGUUGUCGAUGAAUUAUCAUCCAUGAGUUUGUCGAGUUGUGUUCUACCCAUGUGUUGUUAAAGAAGUACCUACGAAGAUUAUACGAUGUGAAUUAUAUGAUGUUGACUAAAAUAUUGCUAUGUUGUUUAACAUGUUGAUUAUGAUAUUGUUAUGUUGCUACGUUGUUUAAGAUAAUGAUUAUGAUAUUGUUAAGUUGUUAUGAUGUUGUGUAUAAUUGUUACUAUUAAGUGAUGAAUAUGUUGUUCUAUAUAUGAUUAAUAUUAUUAAAUGAAUAUUAUGUUAUGUUAUUGAUGAUGAUCGAAUGUUGUGAUUACUUGGUAAUUGUUUAUCAAAGAUGCUAUGAUGUUUAAGAUGAUAUUGUUUAAGAUGUUUAUGUUGAAGAUUUAUGAUGUUGAUUUUGGUGUUAGUAUGUGUUGAUUAUAUUUUCAUAAGAUGAUGAAUAUGUUGUUGUUAUAUUAAUACAAGAAGAUGAAUAUGUUGUUGUUAUAUUAUUAUAUUAUGAAGAGAUGAUGUAUAUAUAAUUAUUAUUAUUAUUAUUAAGUGAAUAUCAUGCUAUGUUGUUGUUAUAUUAUUAUAUUAUGACGCGAUGAUGUAUAUAUAAUUAUUAUUAUUAUUAAGUGAAUAUCAUGCUAUGUUGUUGUUAUAUUAUUAUAUUAUGACGCGAUGAUGUAUAUAUAAUUAUUAUUAUUAUUAAGUGAAUAUCAUGCUAUGUUGUUGUUAUAUUAUUAUAUUAUGACGAGAUGAUGUAUAUAUAAUUAUUAUUAUUAUUAAGUGAAUAUCAUGUUACGUUGUUGUUAUAUUAUUAUAAGAAGAUGUUUAUGUUAUGAUGUAGAUAAUUAUUACUAUUAAUAAGAGAUGAUUCUAUUGUGUUGUUUUAAAGUUAUUAGUGAUGAUGAUUACAUGAUGAUAUCUAUGAGUUGUUAAGUGUACUUGAUGAUGUUUAUGUUAAAUUGAUAAGUUGUCUUUUAUUAAUGAAUUGAUAAUGAGAUGUUUGAUGAAUAAUUAUUAUUAUGAAUUAAUGAUGUUGUUAUGCUAUAUAUGAACUAUGACUAUGAUGUGAUGAUCUAUGUUUGUUACGAUUUGGUUAAUAUGUGUUAAAUGAUAAUUAGAAGUUGGUUGAGUUAUUAAGAAUUAUUACAUGAAGAAUUAUUAUUACUAAUAGAUGAAGUUAUUUGUGUUGUUAAAUAUAAUUAUUGAAUUAUAUGCUUGAUAUUAUUGUUUUGUGAAAUCUCACCCCUUCUGCUUGAAAAUGUUGCUCUUCGUAUGAGUAACUUGCAGGUAUUACUGAUUAGUAGGAGUGGUGGCUCAAGUGUCUUAGGUGCUCUGAUACGUAAUGGGAUGGGAAUUUGUUAUUGCUUUCUAUUCCUUAUGUAUUGUUUCUGAAGAGUUAUGACUAUGUUUUUAGAAUGGAUUUUUAUGACAUAAUUGUAAAGAGGCUUUAGUGCCAAAGACUGUUUUGAUUAUUGAAUAAUUUCCGCUGCGAAGUAUUAAAGACUUUUUAGUUAUUGAAUUUUAAAGGAUAAAUAGUUAUUUAUACAGUUUAUGAUUUUAAGAAAAGAAUGUGACAUUCCGUUUAGGUGAAUUACUCUGAUUAAAUAAAUGAAAUUUUCACGUUGGGAAAACGGGGUGUUACAACAAUAGUUGUUAUGUUAUUUUUUAUGUAGUGCUUUAGGCUCUGUGUUGCAAAAUUUUGGUUUACGCAGCUUUGAUUUUCACAUUUAUAAAGAACAACAAUUUUUCGUAAUUUAUAAGUUUUUCCUUCGGAGUUAAAUUUUUUAAAUAAUACGUUAUUCAACCCGUGCGAAGCACGGGUUUGUAACUAGUUAUACAUAAAAUAAGAAUAUGUGAUAGAAUAUUAUUAUAUAGUUUUAAAAUUUUGAAAAUUUUUAAAGACAUGAUAUUUGUUUUUAACUAUUCAAUAUUAGUAUGUUAAUAAAGCCGGUAUCGGCGAUACAACAAUUGUUUCACAUCUUCAAUUUGCUGACGACACUUUAAUAUUAUGUGACAAAUCUUGGGCGAAUAUUCGCGCUAUGAGGGCUAUUCUUCUUCUUUUUAAAGCUUUCUCGGUUUUAAAAGUGAAUUCGCUAAGAGUCAGUUGAUUGGUGUGAAUGUUGCUAGUUCUUGGUUAUCUGAAGCAGCGAUGGUGUUGCACUGUAAAGUUGGUUCCAUUUCCUUUGUGUAUCUGGGCAUCCCUAUUGGUGGUAAUGUGCGUCGGCUUUCGUUUUGGGAACCAAUUAUUAGUCGUAUCAAAUCUAGAGUGUCUUGUUGGAAUUCGAAAAAAUUGAUCUAUGGGUGGUCCUGGUCUUGCUGAAGUCUGUCCUGUCGUCACUGACUGUUUAUGUUCUUUCUUUUUUCAAGGCUCUGUCAGGGAUCAUCUACUCUCUAGAGUCUUUAUUUAAUUUAUUUUUUUUUUGGGGGGGGGGGGGGGGGGGAACACUGUUUGCAGGAGUAAGGAGGUUGGUGGUUUGCGGUACGGAGAAUUAAGGAGUUUAAUAUUGUUCUUCUAAGGAAAUGGUGUUGGCGGUUGUUGGUGGAGAAGGAGAGUUUAUGGUUUAGGGUGUUGUCAGCUAGGUAUGCUGAGGAGGAUGGACGGGUGAAGGAAGGUGGUUGUGAUGCCUCUUUGUGGUAGCGUGACAUUCACACUCUGUAUAGAAAGGAGUGGUUUAGCGACAUAGUUAAUCUCUCGGUUGGUAAUGGGAAGCACACCCUUUUUUUGUCGGAUGUCUGGCUCGGAGGGGUGUCGUUUAGGGUCAAGUUUCGCAGGUUAUAUGACUUGUCAGUGACUAAGGGGGAGUCUGUUUUCGAUAUGUGUCACCUAGGUUGGGGGGAGGAUGGUGAAGCGUGGCGUUGGAGGCGUAGGUUGUUAGCGUGGGAGGAGGAGCUAGUGGGUGAACUUGUGGUUCUGCAUACUAAUGUGGUUUUGCAGGUUGACAAAGAUGACAGAUGGUUAUGGACUUUGGAAACAUCUUAUGAGUUUUUUGUUCGUAGUCUUUAUAAUUUCCUCACAGUUCAACUUCCUAUUGUGUGACCGGUGACUGGUUCUUCUCUCUGGCAUAAGGAUGUUCCUCUAAAGGUGGUGCUAUUUGAUUGGCGGUUGUUUCAAGACAGGUUGCCUACGAAGGACAGUCUAUUUCGACAUAGUGUGAUAGACGCCAAUUCAAGGGAGUGUCUGGCUGCUUGCGGUUCGUUUGAAUCAUCUAAUCAUUUGUUAAUGCAUUGUAAUUUUUUUUUGGUUCCAUCUGGCAUUGUACCUAUAGAUGGCUGGGUAUUUUUGCGGCUGUCCCAUUUCAUGUGACGGGCCACUUUUACCAAUUCAGUAAUAGCGAUGGUAACUCAAAGAUCCGGUGCUCCAUCUUACAAGUUAUUUGGUUUGCUAGCGUUUGGGAAAUUUGGAAAGAAAUAAAUAACAUGCUCUUCACAGACAAUAAUUGCUGGAUAAAAUUAAGCCGCUUACAUUCAUGUGGUUGAAGGGAAAAUUUGCUUCUCUCCCUCUCAAUUAUCAUGGUUGAUGGCUGAGUCUGUUUACCAUACUGGGUAUAGCUAAUUGUUAUUUUCUUGUGUUGCUUUUAUUUUCUAGUUCCGGAUCUCUGUAAAUAUUGUUAUGACUUGGUUGGUCUUUCCUUAGUAAACCUUGUAUUAGGAAGGCCUCUUUGAUUUAGUAAUAUAUUCCAUUUUAGCCUCUUAAAAAAAAAAAGGUAUGUUAAUAUUUGUUAAAAGUGGGGAAAGAAAAGCCCAAUUUUUGCACGUAAUUUAGCCUAGGAUGGUCCUUCCCAACGACUUAGGUUUUCAGAGCCACCCAUGACAACCAAGAAUGAUUCCAUAAUAAAUAGUAAUUAUUUUAACAAUUUUGUUUUAAAAUCAAUACCAAUUUACUUUGUAAAUAUUCUGAUUCGCAUAAUUGACGUGAAUAAAAAAGUAGAAUAAAUUAUGCAAUGAAAUUUUAAAUCUACAUUUUACACGUUCAUAAUAAUGUUCUAACUCCAAUGGUGUAAUAUAUUCAUACAUGCCUUUACUAUCACGAAAGGGUAAAAAAUUACUGAAGGAAAAGAUAAUGAAAAGUUAGCUAAAUUAUAUUUAAUUAUUAUGAUUAUUAAGCUUAUUAUAUGAUUCUAAAAUAACUUAUUGAUAUAUUUAAGAGAUAAUUAGUGAUGAUUCUAAUGUUAUGGAGGGUUUUUAAAAUUUUAUAAUGCUUAAAUCAUUUAAUUAUUUUUAUAAGACCAUAAACUUUAUACAUUAUAAAGAGAUCAAGUCAUUUACUAUUAUUUAGAUGCAAAUAGAAAGAAAAAAAAUAUGGUUGAAACUUUAAAGUUGGUUUAUGUUCUGAAUCUAUUUUAUUCCAUAUUUCUUGGCAUAAUAGUAUGUAAUACUUCUCUAAUUAAAUAUUUUGACGUUCCUUGGGAAAAAGAUAAAGAUUGUCCAAAACCUCUGAGGUUUAAUAUUAGGUGUCGUAAAGGCUUCUGUGUACGGAUCUGAAACAUACUAAUGAUAUAAAUGAGUUCUUGCUCUAGCAAGAUAAUUGUAUGAUAUAUCUUAUGUUAAAAUAUUUCAUUUGUUAACAUUUAGAUUUUAUGCAUGCACUAAAUAUUUAUUCCUCCUCCUGCUCCUCAAUACUAAUUUCACAUAAUCCUCAUCUUGAAACCAUUAAUUCGAACCAAGUCUUAUCAAAUCCAUUGUUAAUUAUGUUUCACGCCUCACUGAGAUGAGACAAUAUGAAAAUAAUAUCAUGAAUCAACAAUAAGCAGUAUCAAAAAGAAAUUAAACAAAAAAAACAACAUUUUUUUAAUGUAAAAUACGUAUAUUAUAAAUAAAAUGGUGAAAUCUCAUGCAAGAGUACAACCACAUAGUUAAGUCAAAAAAAAAAAAAAAGAGUACAACCACAUAGAAAUUAGAGUACAAGAAGUACUAAAGUCAAGUAAUAAUAAAAAACAUAGAAUCCCACACAGAAAAACAAAAGUAAGAACUAAAACACCAACGGAAAACCAACUAAACUCCUAUCAAGAACCCUCAACCACAGGCUAAAGUUUAGAGUUCGACUCGACUUUUAGUUCGUCGAACUUGGUUCAUGAACCAAAUGAGUUGAGUUUGAGCUGAAAAUUAAAUUCGUUAAAUAAAUGGCUGAGCUUCAACUAUAUAUAGUUUAACUCAUUUGAAAGUUCAACUCACUUAGUUCAUGAACCGACUUGAUUACAAAUAUAUAUUUGCAACAUGUGGCAAAUUUCAAGGGGCAACAUAGAGAGUUAGCACAAAACAAGUCCCACAUGGAAGGUCUUGUAAGCUUACAAAGGUCAACGUAAAAUAAGCGCUUGUGUUGCAUCCUUCUACGAUGUUUUUUCACUGUCAUUAAAGUGACAUACACAUUCCAUUUUUCACUUGAACAAAGUAGUUUAAUUUUUUUUAAGUUACCACUAUUACGUGAGCACUCGGUUUCUUGAACCAAUUUGUG
rnacentral:lncRNA from 1 species